rfam:Otolemur garnettii contig022877, whole genome shotgun sequence.
CUGUUGACCCUGUUGCAGCACAUAUACUAAAAUUGGAACGAUACAGAGAAGAUUAGCAUGGCCCCUGUGCAAGGAUGACAUGCAAAUUCGUGAAGGCUAUAAAUGAAUGGUGAUUUUUUUUU